ensembl:misc_RNA Y_RNA Y RNA
AGCUGCUCCGAAGGUAGUGAGUUACCUCAUGUGACUGUUCACAGUCAGUUACAGAUUGAACCCCUUGUUCUACUACUUUCCCCUCUUCUCACUACUGCACUUGACCAGUAAAAA